rnacentral:rRNA from 1 species
AGAGUUUGAUCCUGGCUCAGGAUGAACGCUAGCGACAGGCCUAACACAUGCAAGUCGAGGGGUAUAGUAGCAAUACUAGAGACCGGCGCACGGGUGCGUAACGCGUAUGCAACCUACCUUCUACUGGGGGAUAGCCUUCGGAAACGGAAAUUAACACCCCAUAAUAUAGUUGAAUCUCCUGAUUUGAUUAUUAAAACUCCGGUGGUAGAAGAUGGGCAUGCGUGACAUUAGCUAGUUGGUAGGGUAACGGCCUACCAAGGCUACGAUGUCUAGGGGUUCUGAGAGGAAGGUCCCCCACACUGGUACUGAGACACGGACCAGACUCCUACGGGAGGCAGCAGUGAGGAAUAUUGGUCAAUGGGCGCAAGCCUGAACCAGCCAUGUCGCGUGCAGGAUGACUGCCCUAUGGAUUGUAAACUGCUUUUUUAUGGGAAGAAAAAGGGGUACGUGUACCUCUCUGCCGGUACCAUAAGAAUAAGGAUCGGCUAACUCCGUGCCAGCAGCCGCGGUAAUACGGAGGAUUCAAGCGUUAUCCGGAUUUAUUGGGUUUAAAGGGUGCGUAGGCGGUUUGAUAAGUCAGUGGUGAAAUCUUGCAGCUUAACUGUAAAAUUGCCAUUGAUACUGCCAGACUUGAGUAUAGUUGAGGUGGGCGGAAUGUGUUGUGUAGCGGUGAAAUGCAUAGAUAUAACACAGAACACCAAUUGCGAAGGCAGCUCACUAAGCUAUAACUGACGCUGAGGCACGAAAGCGUGGGUAGCGAACAGGAUUAGAUACCCUGGUAGUCCACGCCGUAAACGAUGAUUACUCGUUGCAGGCGAUAUAGAGUCUGUGACUGAGCGAAAGCAUUAAGUAAUCCACCUGGGGAGUACGUUGGCAACGAUGAAACUCAAAGGAAUUGACGGGGGCCCGCACAAGCGGAGGAACAUGUGGUUUAAUUCGAUGAUACGCGAGGAACCUUACCUGGAUUUAAAUGUGCUUGAUCGCCUCAGAAAAGGGGUUUUCCGCAAGGACAAGUACAAGGUGCUGCAUGGUUGUCGUCAGCUCGUGCCGUGAGGUGUCGGGUUAAGUCCCAUAACGAGCGCAACCCACGUUGUUAGUUACCAGCAUGUAAUGAUGGGGACUCUAGCAAGACUGCCGGUGUAAACCGUGAGGAAGGUGUGGAUGACGUCAAAUCAGCACGGCCCUUACAUCCAGGGCUACACACGUGUUACAAUGGCCGGUACAGAGGGCAGCUACUAGGUGACUAGAUGCAAAUCUUCAAAACCGGUCUCAGUUCGGAUCGAAGUCUGCAACCCGACUUCGUGAAGCUGGAUUCGCUAGUAAUCGCAUAUCAGCCAUGAUGCGGUGAAUACGUUCCCGGGCCUUGUACACACCGCCCGUCAAACAAUGGAAGCCGGGGGUACCUGAAGUAUGUAACCGCAAGGAGCGUCCUAGGGUAAAACUGGUAACUGGUGUUAAGUCGUAACAAGGUA